UACGUAGGGAGCAAGCGUUGUCCGGAAUCACUGGGCGUAAAGGGUGCGUAGGCGGGUUUUUAAGUCAGGGGUGAAAUCCUGGAGCUCAACUCCAGAACUGCCUUUGAUACUGAAGAUCUUGAGUUCGGGAGAGGUGAGUGGAACUGCGAGUGUAGAGGUGAAAUUCGUAGAUAUUCGCAAGAACACCAGUGGCGAAGGCGGCUCACUGGCCCGAUACUGACGCUGAGGCACGAAAGCGUGGGGAGCAAACAGGG
rnacentral:rRNA from 1 species